rnacentral:rRNA from 1 species
GACGAACGCUGGCGGCGUGCCUAAUACAUGCAAGUCGAACGAGAGCGCCCGGUGCUUGCCCUGGUCAAUCUAGUGGCGAACGGGUGAGUAACACGUGGGUAACCUGCCCAUCAGAGGGGGAUAACAUUCGGAAACGGAUGCUAAAACCGCAUAGGUCUUCGAACCGCAGGGUUUGAAGAGGAAAAGAGGCGCAAGCUUCUGCUGGUGGAUGGACCCGCGGUGCAUUAGCUAGUUGGUGGGGUAACGGCUCACCAAGGCCGUGAUGCAUAGCCGACCUGAGAGGGUGAUCGGCCACAUUGGGACUGAGACACGGCCCAGGCUCCUACGGGAGGCAGCAGUAGGGAAUCUUCCGAAAUGGGCGCAAGUCUGACGGAGCAACGCCGCGUGAGUGAAGAAGGUUUUCGGAUCGUAAAACUCUGUUGUUAGAGAAGAAUAAGUGCUAGAGUAACUGUUAGCGCCUUGACGGUACCUAACCAGAAAGCCACGGCUAACUACGUG